rnacentral:rRNA from 1 species
AGCCCAACUCUAGCCCAAUUACCUAAGCCUAAGCUUAAAGAAAAAACCCACUCUCCUACAAACUAAAACAUUCUACUCUCUUAGUAUAGGCGAUAGAAAAGACUCACCAGGCGCCAUAGAGAUAUCUGUACCGCAAGGGAAAGAUGAAAUAGUAAUGAAAACCCAAGCAAUAGACAGCAAAGAUAAACCCUUGUACCUCUUGCAUCAUGGUUUAGCAAGAACACCCAAGCAAAAAGAAUUUAAGCUUGCCUCCCCGAAACCCAAGCGAGCUACUUGCAAGCAGCUAAUUAUGAGCAAACCCGUCUCUGUGUCAGAAGAGUGGGAUGACUUGCCAGUAGAGGUGAAAAGCCAAUCGAGCAGGGUGAUAGCUGGUUGCCUGUGAAAUGAAUCUAAGUUCUCCCUUGAUUUUUUCCCCCUGGACGCCAGUCUAACCUCAAUGUAAAAAUCAAGUGGUAUUUAAAGGAGGUACAGCUCCUUUAAAAAGAAUACAACCUCCACCAGCGGAUAAAUCAUGCCCCUACACACCCUGUAGGCCCUAAAGCAGCCACCAACAAAGAGUGCGUCAAAGCUCCACUUUUCAAAAAUUAGUACACAACAUGACUCCCCCCUCACUAACAGGCCAAUCUAUAAAAAUAGAAGGAUUAAUGCUAGAAUGAGUAACUAGGAGAAGCCCCCUCUAGGCGCAAGCUUACAUUAUCACAUUAUUAACAGGCCAACUAAUACCUAAACCUAAACAAGCCCCAAUAUUUCCACCACUGUUAACCCAACCCAGGAGCGCCAAUUAGAAAGAUUUAAAUCUGUAAAAGGAACUAGGCAAACCCGAGGCCCGACUGUUUACCAAAAACAUAGCCUUCAGCCAACCAAGUAUUGAAGGUGAUGCCUGCCCAGUGACAUAAUGUUUAACGGCCGCGGUAUACUAACCGUGCGAAGGUAGCGCAAUCAAUUGUCCCAUAAAUCGAGACCUGUAUGAACGGCUAAACGAGGUCCCAACUGUCUCUUACAGAUAAUCAGUGAAAUUGAUCUCCCUGUGCAAAAGCAGGAAUACACACAUAAGACGAGAAGACCCUGUGGAACUUAAAAAUCAACAGCCACCCAACACAGUCUCAACCUACUAGGCCCAACAACACUGCACCCUGGCUAAUAUUUUUCGGUUGGGGCGACCUUGGAGAAAAACAAACCCUCCAAAACUAAGACCUAACAUCUUAACCAAGAGUAACACCUCAACGUACAAACAGUAACCCGACCCAAUAUAAUUGACCAAUGAACCAAGCUACCCCAGGGAUAACAGCGCAAUCUCCCUUAAGAGCCCAUAUCGACAGGGAGGUUUACGACCUCGAUGUUGGAUCAGGACAUCCUAACGGUGCAGCCGCUGUUAAGGGUUCGUUUGUUCAACGAUUAACAGUCCUACGUGAUCUGAGUUCAGACCGGAGCAAUCCAGGUCGGUUUCUAUCUAUGACAAGCCCUUCCUAGUACGAAAGGACCGGAAGAGCGAGGCCCAUGCUAUAAGUAAGCCUCCCCCAAAGUAAUGAACCCAACUUAAUUACCAACAAGGCUACCCAUCUUAAUAACUCCUAAAAAAGGACCG